AAGUCGUAACAAGGUAUCCGUAGGUGAACCUGCGGAUGGAUCAUUACCAAUUUUAUAUAAUAGUUUGCCUGUGACGGACUACUCUGCUACAGGUAUUAACUACUAUUGUAAACGUUGAACUAGAUCAAUUGGUGUGGAUUGCUUGGGAAUGGACGAAGCGACAAGCCUCUUCCGGACAGGCAAGCCCCACACUGGUAACCCUUUUCAAUUAUACAAUUCGUACAUACUACAAAUACAAACAAAUUCUAUUAAUAGGACUUAUUAAUGGGCUGAGUGGGUAAAAUCCUCGGCUCUAUAAAUUUAUAACAAAAUACAACUUUCAGCAAUGGAUCUCUAGGCUCUC
rnacentral:misc_RNA from 1 species